rnacentral:rRNA from 1 species
CCUAACACAUGCAAGUCGAACGGUAACAGGAAACAGCUUGCUGUUUCGCUGACGAGUGGCGGACGGGUGAGUAAUGUCUGGGAAACUGCCUGAUGGAGGGGGAUAACUACUGGAAACGGUAGCUAAUACCGCAUAACGUCGCAAGACCAAAGAGGGGGACCCUCGGGCCUCUUGCCAUCGGAUGUGCCCAGAUGGGAUUAGCUAGUAGGUGGGGUAACGGCUCACCUAGGCGACGAUCCCUAGCUGGUCUGAGAGGAUGACCAGCCACACUGGAACUGAGACACGGUCCAGACUCCUACGGGAGGCAGCAGUGGGGAAUAUUGCACAAUGGGCGCAAGCCUGAUGCAGCCAUGCCGCGUGUAUGAAGAAGGCCUUCGGGUUGUAAAGUACUUUCAGCGGGGAGGAAGGGAGUAAAGUUAAUACCUUUGCUCAUUGACGUUACCC